UUUUUUCUUUUUUAAAGAGGAGAAAAAUUCUUGCCUACAUAAAGAAUUAAAGGAAAGCCGUGGGUACAUGAGACUCUGUCUCAAAAUACGUAUAUCUCCAAGUAAAUAGGAUUAUAGGUAAAUUUUGUACUGAGUUCAACUUUUAUAGAUUUUUAGAAUUAAAGUAACAUGUUUAUUUUUAUAAUGAGAAAAAAUAAAGAUACCGUAGAAUACUUGGGAUAAAACAUAUUCUCGGUGUUGUCAUUAUUAUCAAGAAAAGGACUAGAAAGUAAAAUCUUGGCGGGGGGGGGGGGGUUGGUUAGCAGUAUCUGGAAAAAAAAAAGACAUGUUCUAAGAAACAGAAAUCAUCAUUCCCCUCAAAUUAAAACUAACAGAAAGUAAGACACAGAUCGGAACAGCUUCUUGGGAUUCUUUUCAACCAGAAUCAAAUUAUUAAGAUUUCCUUUUCAAAUUCAAUAUAAAAUCUGACAGGAAAUGUGCAGACUGGGAAUCUUAUUAGUUUUAGUUCCUGACCAACACAUCCAUGAAGGAGGAACAGAAGUGAAAAGCAGGGUGUGCGCUGGGGAGCUGGCUCGGCGCACAAACCGUCUCUAGCAAGCACAAGGUCCUGAGUUUAAUCCCCCAAACCAACAUAAAACGUCAGAUCCGGUGGUGUGCGCUUAGCUCUGUAACCCCAGCGCUAGAGAGACAGAGAAGAGCAGAUCCGAGGGCCUCACUGGUCAGUCAGCCUAGCUUCCCGGGCCAAUAAGGCCUCAAAAGUAAGGUAGCAUUCCUGAGGUAAAACAACAGGUUCCAGUCCAGGUCCUCCACACACCCACACCUGCACAUGCAUAAGCACACAAAGAAAAGAGAAAACCCAAAGUAUUUAUGGCCUUAACACCAUCUUUGCCUUGAAUAUAAACUAGAAAUCAGUGUUAAUUUAUGAACUUAUCAAUAAAUCAGCCAGCAAGAGUCACCAAUCACAGAGGUAAAUCAUCCAUGAGGAAAAGACUGAACUGAUGGGGAGAAGGAGGAGGCAGGGAGGCAGGAAAACAACACCGUGGAAAGAGGAGAACAGCCCACCAAGCUCGGUGAGGCUCCUCUUCACGAAACAGUCCUGCACAGGGCUCUGAGCAAAUGCAAAGGCUGUGGAGGACCAGUAGGGCUCGCCCACCCUGCUCUGGACUGAACACUGCACAUGCUCUUUGGAGGGUACAAGGCAAUGCCUAUACAAGCGUAGGAUGUUGCUGUCAUCUGACACUGUUGCUUCUUGAAAUUACCUCAGAUCUCUUGUCUAAAUCAAGCGUUCAGGGCCAGCCAUAGAUUUGGUGAAAGAGAAUAUGAAACCAACGUAAGAAAAUUCAAGCAAACCUAUUACUUUCCUUUUAAGCUCAAAUAUAUUUCUUAAGGCUAAACAUCAGAAGCAAGGCACUCAGAUCCCAACCCUUCUCUUUAUAACCUCUGCUUUGUAUCUAGCUCCAGAGGGAAAACUGUGUUUACAAGAACCACGAGACACGUGAAAAGCAAUAACCAAGAUAAAUGAAAAACCGCUAGGCUAAGUUUUAGUCAGAACUUUAUUGCAAUGGACUUGGUUUUAUGAGAUGAAGAAAUCUACUUUUUUCUUGUCUCCUCUAGCGUUACACAUUGAAAAACAAAACAUGAUUAAACUAUUCUUUUAAUGUCAUCAUAUCGUUUAUAAAGAGCUUAAGGAAAACAAUUUGCAUGCAGGCUGAGCACACUACAGAGAGCUUGGGUGGUGUGAAAGCCAGCGUCAGAAGGUGAAGGUUCAGUCUAGUGUUAGCCCAGGCACCAGCACAGAAUCCCAUGUCUGCUUUCCCUUCCCAGCCUGUGGGGUCUGCUGUUGUUGCAUGUCUAUUGAUUUUUGUUUUGUUUCACAGCCUUAAUUCAGAGUGUUCUGAAAACUUAAAGACACUUUUUAAACACUCAAAAGUAGGAGGAAAUCAGAAUUAAUGCUCAUUUCUUUUAAUAUUCCAGAAGCAAGAGAACCAAGUGUCACGUCAGAAUCAUUAGAUUGUUUUCAUGGUGUGAACACAAGAAAGAAAAAGCAGGGGUUCUGGGAACUCCCCACGAAGUAGCAAGGGUCAGAGCCAAAGCACAAACUCCAGGACACCUAUGAUGUACUCCCUUGCCCUGAGGUCAAUUGGCAGCCAUUACUGCACAGAAACCUGUAGCUGGACAAGCUAAUCUGCUUACUAGAGUGAUCUGAAGAUUAUUUUUAAAUCCCAAAGCCCAGACAAAGCACCCCAAACUUUUCGAUAACAAUUUCUGAGAAGAAAUCAAGACUCAGUGCCUCUUUUUUUGAAUCCCCCCUUCCCGCAAAACCAGAUUUUCCUCAUGUUGGUGUCUUCACAUAAACAUGAGCUCAGAGAAUUAAAGGGAGCAGAAAAAGAAGGGGUGAAGUAAAUAAUCACCAGCCGAAUGCAUACAUCUCUGCUCUCUGUGCAGAAAGUCAUUUCCACACGCACUCUGUGCACUUCCUGAAGCUUGCUCAACAAAAUGCUGAGAAGUUCAUUACAAAGGUACAGUGUGCUGUACACAGUGUGCAGGAUAAAAGCACCGCGUGCUGACAUGCGCCUCUUUACGAAGGAUGCUGAUUGGGGAGAGAGAACAAAAGAGAAAAGGCAUCUAUGACAAACCCAAAACAAGCUUAUGCAGGCUCCAAGGUGACAAAUUGGCGGCAACUAGAAAGAGAUGUUUGAAGAAUGCCAGCCAAUUUGCUUAACCUCCGCUACCACGCUCCAGAGCAGUGUUUCCUUUACCUGCAUCCCCUCCAAAAUGUUUAGCUAAGUGAACCUCUCCAAAGGUUGGCCCUUCAUAAACGUGUAAAUGGCCCAAAGUGACCAAAGCCAACACUGAGGGAAAUAUAUCCCAUAGCCCAACCUUAAGUCUUGAAAAUCGAGUAAGGCAAAGGUCAUUAAAUCCUUGUAUUGAGUUCCAUGAUGGAAAAAGGAGACGGGAGAAAGCUUCCUAGACCCUGCAACUUCAACUGUAAUAGAAAGACGUGGUGCAGUUCACUUUCUAAUUCCAGGUACUAUUUAAGCACAGCCCACAAUCUCCCUCAGCACACAGCACGCUCUUGCUCCUCAAGCCCUUCUUACACUCACAUGGUUUUGCUGGUACAAGCAUCCCAUUUGUCUGAGAGUAUGGCAGGCAAAGUGCUCCUGGUAUGCACGGCACCAUUGGUGCACUCAGCUUAAACCCACGGAACUCUUUAUCCUUUGGAAGAGUAAGAUUACUUUUAUGCAAUCCAAAUGGGAGAGUAUCCCAAAUACCAGAUGAUGAAGGAACCCGAGACCAUAAUGCAAAUGUGCUGAUGAACAUCACGCAAUUUGGCUUCAAAAACACCUCUGGGUUUGGCCGGGCUUCCACAUCCAUGAGGGGGACAGGGAGGAUGUGGCUGCAGCGGUCUAGGCAAAGGGUGCGUGUCCUUGUUUAUGCAACUGUAACGAUUAAGACUUAGCAAAUCCCUUCCAGGACAAGCAGAGGUGGCAAUGGUCUACCAGUGUAUGUGCCUCGAAAACAGAUGUGCUUUGUUAGUGUAGCAUAGGAUUCAACUAUGAGUGCUUCUGAAGUGCGGGACUCCUUUUCCUCAGUGUUGGCUUUUGUCACUUUGGGUCAUUUCAAUGCCAUCUAGGAAGGGCCAAGCUUUGGAAGCAUCCCUUGGCUACACAUUUUCUGAAGAGAAUACACAGGAAAGGAAGCACUGCGGAACAGAUCCACCCGAGACUAACAUGGCAGCUUGCUUUCAUCCUCUGUCUCUUCUGCCUCUAUCAUGCAGUGAAGUCACAAUACACUUGUGACAGAAAACCUCCCCUGGCAACUGGCUGACAUCAUAAACAGCAGAUUACGACUUGGCUGCAAAGCCAGAGGAGAAGAUGGUCAGGGAAGAAGAGGCUAUAAUUCAAACAAAUCUCUUCCAUAAUAGCUAUGUGAAUACCAGCCAUUACUGGCCAAGUAAAUUGCUUUGUGUGAGCAGAACAACACAGCCUUCUAGCAGGUUCGGUUCUGAACUAGAGAAUGUAGGACAAGACAAAUUUUCGGAACAAGACCACACUGCUGGCUGGACUCACAAGGGGCUAACUACCACACUGGAGUUACACGUGCCACCUGAGGGUAAGACAUGGCCUGUGGAUGGAAGACGGUCUUGACUGUGCUCACCGAGGUGAGAGUGUGAAAAGAGACAACUUGAAGUAAUAGAGACUGCCAGGUGUUGGUGGCACCCCUUCCACUGUAAUGACAGCCAUGACUUAAGAUUUUGUCUCGCUCUACUCUGCCUCUGAAUUGCAAAUCUUCAGGUUGCCACAGCAACUCUAUACAGUGACAGACUUUUACCGAAAACGGCAUGCCAUAAACCAAUUUAAUUCAAGGUAACCCAAGCUGCUGGAUGAAAAGGAGCCCAAAAAAAUGAACAGAAGGAAGAAAACGCAAACGUUUCAAGUUACGUGGGAGCCUUAGUCACACACUGAAAUGAGCACAAAUGAACAGACCAUGGGUUCCCAGGACCGAUGAGAACGAAGCUGUAUGAACCAAGCAGCUAUCUGAUGGUUUCCUUUGCCUGCAUCAGUCAAAAGAAGACAAACAAUAUAGAUCAAGUGCAUCGGUGCUCUAGACCACAUUGAUUUGUUGCAUGUGUGGUUAAAUCCUGUCAAGCAGUCUUAAAGGUGAAGCAUUACCAGUAGAGAAUCGGCUCUGGGAGGGAGGGGCUGCCAUGAGUCAUCAGUGGGGCUUCUACCUGCCACUCACAGCACUGCAUAACUGACCCCAACCACACGGACAUUUCAUAGAUGUAAUCUACGAGCCCUCCUCUCUAUGUGUAGACAAGGGCUUUCAGUGAAUGAUUAUAUACUAACAACUAACCAGGUACUGGCUGCAAUAAGAGAAGGCAGGUUCAGAUGACGAGGGAGACGUACGGUGUUAUACAAAGAGCCUGGACCAAUCUUCACCAGGGUCACUGGUUGAAGGGGGGAGGGGGACUGUCCAUCAGGAAGCCUACUCUUGUGGGAACUGUUUUAUCACUGCGGACGUCUCUGACUUCCCACUCCUCCUUGUGGUCCUUGUUGGCCGGUGAAACUCUGAUUUGCAUAGACCAACAUGCUGAAACAUUGCCUAUUUCUAUUCAUGGCCUCAGCGGAUACAGUCUGUUGACAGACUGCAACUUAAGAGGACCAAUUAUUUAACUAAUGUUUUGCAGAGAUGUCCACGCGCUGACCUCAGCAAUAUUAAAACUGUACAAUUAUUAUGCAAAGUCAGGAGUGGAAGCUCAUUCCAGAGUUAUCUAUAGGAAGCUGUCAGAUCACCUCGAGUGACAAAGCACAGCCAAGUGGUGGUUUGAGAGAAGGAAUCCAUAACACUCCAGUCGCAUGGAAGGCCUUUCAAUAAUCUCCACAGUGAGGACAUGAACAAUCGCCCCUUCUCUCUGCUUUAUUUCUCCCCAUCAAAACACUGGCAUGAGGCUCAGAAUGUCGAAAGUAAAUCAAUCCGUUAAUAAAUCCUGGUAUGCCUUUACUAUAUGCUAACA